GGAGAAGGUCCCAAGGGUUGGGCUGUUCGCCCAUUAAAGCGGCACGCGAGCUGGGUUUAGAACGUCGUGAGACAGUUCGGUCCCUAUCCUCCAUGGGCGUAGGAAAUUUGAAGGGCUCUGUUCUUAGUACGAGAGGACCGGAAUGGACGAACCUCUAGUGUACCUGUUGUCACAUCAGUGGCACCGCAGGGUAGCUACGUUCGGUCGGGAUAAGCGCUGAAAGCAUAUAAGCGCGAAACCCACCCUAAGAUGAGAUUUCCCUUACCUUCGGGUACUAAAGGCUUCCAGUAGAUGACUGGGUUGAUAGGCCACAGGUGUAAGUAUAGUAAUAUAUUUAGCCGAGUGGUACUAAUAAGCCGUGAGGCUUAAUCAAUUUUU
rnacentral:rRNA from 1 species